rnacentral:misc_RNA from 1 species
CUUUCCCUAGCCGCAGCCCGCUGUUCUCCUUCUGUUUCUCUAUUUUAUUUUUCAAAGAAUCCUCGCCUAUUCCCUUCGGCAAUUGUUGGCUGCCUGGCUCCUGGGCCUGUCAUUUCCUCACUUCAUCCUCUCCUGUGUAGAAGAAGUAGAAGAAGAAGAGAUAAUGUUGGACAUCAAUCUCUUUAGGGAAGAAAAGGGCCACAACCCCGAAAUCAUCCGCGAAUCUCAGCGUCGCCGAUUUGCCAAUGUUGAUAUUAUUGAUGAGAUUAUUGCUCUAGACAGGGAGUGGAGGCAGCGUCAAUUUGAACUUGACAAUCUACGCAAAGAGUUGAAUAAGAUAAACAAACAAAUUGCUCAACUCAAAAUUGCAGGUGAGGAUGCAACUGAAUUGAUUAAAAAUACCAAUGAUAACAAGCAACUGAGCGCUGAUAAAGAAGCUGAGGUGCAGCUGGCUUCUUUAGCUUUAAUUAAGAGAUUGGAAGCCGUUGGGAAUCUUGUGCAUGAUUCAGUGCCUGUUAGCGAUGAUGAGGCAAAUAAUGCUGUAAUUCGAGUUUGGGGUGAGAAACGUUCUGAGCCUAAAUUGAAAAACCAUGUUGAGCUUGUUGAGCUUCUAGGAAUUGCUGAUACUAAGAAAGGUGCCAAUGUAGCUGGAGGUAGAGGCUUUUAUUUGAAAGGUGAUGGUGUACGACUUAAUCAAGCAUUGAUCAAUUUUGGACUAGAUUUCUUGGAGAAGAGGGGUUGCACAGCCUUGCAGACUCCCUUUUUCAUGAGAAAAGACAUUAUGGCAAAAUGUGCUCAGUUAGCACAAUUUGAUGAAGAACUUUACAAGGUGACCGGUGAAGGGGAUGACAAGUAUCUAAUUGCUACAGCUGAACAACCAUUGUGUGCUUAUCAUUUAGAUGAUUGGAUCCAUCCUUCACAGCUACCAAUCAGAUAUGCUGGAUACUCAUCUUGUUUUCGUAAAGAAGCUGGUUCACAUGGUCGUGAUACUUUGGGAAUUUUCCGAGUUCAUCAAUUUGAGAAAGUGGAGCAAUUCUGCAUUACCAGCCCAAAUGGUAAUGACUCUUGGGACAUGCAUGAAGAAAUGAUCAAGAACUCUGAGGACUUCUACAAGAUGCUAAACAUUCCAUACCAAGUUGUGGCUAUUGUUUCUGGUGCUUUGAAUGAUGCUGCUGCAAAGAAGUGUGACUUGGAAGCUUGGUUUCCUGCUUCACAAACAUACAGAGAGUUGGUCUCCUGUUCCAAUUGUACAGACUACCAGUCAAGAAGGUUGGAAAUUCGAUAUGGGCAGAAAAAGAGCAAUGAGCAAGCAAAACAAUACGUUCAUUUGUUGAACUCUACGCUCACUGCAACAGAGAGGACCAUUUGCUGCAUCCUUGAGAACUACCAGAAGGAAAACGGUGUAGAGAUCCCAGAACCUUUGCGAGUGUAUAUGGGUGGAAAAGCUUUCCUCCCUUUCCAAAACAAUCCAUCUACAGAAGGCAAGGGGAAGAAAUCUAAGGCUUAGUCAUCUUAUUAUAGACUUCUGCAUAUUAGAAUUUGAGAAUUUGGAUUGCAUAUUGCUUGUUCUCUUUACUGGAUGCCUAAAAUUUGGUCAUUGUCAUUGUUUUCUCUUUAUGACUGGAAACGUACACGUAACAGAGCCUUUAUGAGAAAACAAUGACAAUGACCAAAUUUUA